rnacentral:rRNA from 1 species
GACGAACGCUGGCGGCGUGCUUAACACAUGCAAGUCGAACGGUGAAGCGCCUUCCUUUUUGGUGGGCGUGGAUGAGUUGCGAACGGGUGAGUAACACGUGAGUAACCUGCCUCCUUCUUCUGGAUAACCGCAUGAAAGUGUCGCUAAUACGGGAUAUUCUGUGUCUGUCGCAUCAUGGGUCUGGGAAAGAUUUUGUUUCUGUGGGGGAUGGGCUCGCGGCCUAUCAGCUUGUUGGGGGGGUGAGGGCCUACCCAGGCGGUGACGGGUAGCCGGCCUGGGAGGGUGGGCCGUCAUGGAGGGGCUGAGAGGCGGAGACGCCUACUGCGGGCGGCAGUAGGGAGUAAUAUUGCAUGGGCGGAGGAAGGCUGAAGCAGCGCCGCGGCGGGGAGGAUGGAGGCCUUCGGGUUGUGAACUUCUUUUGCGAGAGAAGAAGGGCUGCCUAGUUUGUGGGUGGGUUGACGGUAGCUAGAUAAGAAGCGCCGGCUAACUACGUG